rnacentral:piRNA from 1 species
UUUCCUUGAGAGGAGGGAAGGAGUCUGC